GAGGGGUAGCGAAGUGGCUAAACGCGGCGGACUGUAAAUCCGCUCCCUCCGGGUUCGGCGGGUUCGAAUCCGUCCCCCUCCACCAU
rnacentral:tRNA from 1 species